UACGUAGGGUGCUAGCGUUGUUCGGAAUCAUUGGGCGUAAAGCGCGUGUAGGCGGUUUGUUAAGUCGGAUGUGAAAUCCCUGGGCUCAACCGAGGAAGUGCAUUCGAAACUAACUGGCUAGAAGAUGGUAGAGGAAGGUGGAAUUCCACGUGUAGCGGUGAAAUGCGUAGAGAUGUGGAGGAACACCAGUGGCGAAGGCGACUCUUUGGCCUGUAACUGACGCUGAGGCGCGAAAGCGUGGGGAGCAAACAGG
rnacentral:rRNA from 1 species